rnacentral:lncRNA from 1 species
UUUUUUUUUUUUUUUUUUUUUUUUUUUGCCUUUGCUUUUAUCUUUUUAAUUCCAAGGGCCCAUCUGGCUGGGGCUAUUUAACCCAUAGGGUAAAAAAAGUUUUACUUAAAAUAUGUCUCAGCCACUAUUUUUUUUUCUUAGCAAGAAAUAAGAGGAGAGUGAUAACUGCACCUUGAGGGAAUAAAGCUAGCAAUUGUGGAAAAAAUCCUUGGCAGUAUUGGGAUUCCUUGGACACUGAAAUUGGUUGCCAAAUACUGAAUCAGACUUUUUUUUGCCUAAAGGUGAACUUAACUAUAAGUUGAGGGAUGAGAGUAUAGACAGGAUGAUUUCUAUAGCCCCUUGAAAGCUGUGUUUGGCAAAGAAUGGUCUGAGAACACACAUGAAAAUUGUCUGGGGUGCUUCAGGGGGGAUUUGCAUUCUUAACAAAUUGUCUUUAUCAUUUAUGGUCCAGUCAGAGAAACUGCAGUUGAAGAGAAAUUUAAGGCAAGCAAUCAGUUAUUAUAUUGGUAUUCUGUUGUGGGGUAACAAAACAACCUAAAAUGAGUAGCUUAAAAGAAAAAUUGCUUAUUGUUGCUCACCAGUCUACUGGCCAACUGGAUCAUUCUUCUGAUCUUGACUGGGCUCCCUCCUGUGUCUGUAGUAGUUGUCAGGCCAGGUAGGUAGCUUGGAUUCUGGGAUCUGCUUAUUGGCUGGGGUGCUUGGGUCCUCGUCCAUGAGAGACAGGGGGUCCUCCUCCAGCUGAUUAGCCCAGGCUCAUUCACAUGGCAAAUGAGUGGGAUUCCAAAAGGAAGCACACAAAGUCUUCAGGUCUGGAAUCAGAACUGGAACAAAAUUGCUUAUACUAAAACUUGUUGACCCAAGUAGGAAGGCCAGCCCAGACUUAUCUCUCAAGUUGACUCCGGUUUGGGAUGGGAGGAGCUUUAUAAUUGGAAAGGAGAAUAGUGAGGGAUUAAUUGAGACCAUUUUACCAACACUUUACCAUAGUUACAAUGGUGUUAGGAAGGCUGGAGGAGCAAGUGAAAGAAAGGGUGUGCUAAGGAUUAGAAAGGAUCAGGAGAAAUCAUUUGAUGAGGAAGCUGCUAGUCUGGAGCACAUACAGGCAGUGCUGAGUCCUUGGAGGGAGGGUACCUUGCUGCUAAUGGUACUUCUGGAAUUGCUAAAGAAGUACCACCUAUGCUCAUGCUGGAAUCAGAAUGACUUCUCCUCUAUGGCUGUCAGUGGUUUACAUGAGCUGAACCUAACCAAAUGCCCCUGGUAAGAAAACCUGGGACAUCCAGCUUGGAGGCUUCUAGGCCCAACAGUAUAGAAUAGGGGAUAGAAGGGAGAAUGUGAGGCUUCAAGCAGAUAAACAAUUGCCAUUCUCCUGUGGAAUUCUCACCACAUUAAACAUUUUGAGACCUAUUGCUAUAAUAUUCUGUGAUUCUAGAGGAAUAGUGAAAUGCAAGCCUCAUUCCAGAGAUAAACACUGGCUGAGUCAACUGAGGAUUGGUAUAGAAUUCCUAGGGAAUUAUUCUUGCUGAUUUUGACCUGUAAGUUGGUGGGCAAUAGGGAUGUGGGUAACAUAACUAGCUUGAAUGGAUAAGACGUCAGAUUUCAGCCCCAUACAUUAUUAUGUCAAAGGAGAUUAUCUGCAUGGAGAAGCCAUCAACAUAAAAAUCUUGAUGUUUGCCAUCUCAUCCGUUGCUUGCCUGAUGGUCCUAGCCAUCAGCACAGAGUAUCUGCCUGCAGGUGUACGUGAGUGGGGUAUAGAGAGGCAGGCAAUCAGAGCAAAAAAAAAGUGAGGAUAUUAAUCAAAUGGAGAUGAUUAGGCAAAAAGUCAGUCUGUUAAAGGUCGAUAAAAAGACAACUCUGGAUUCAUUAGUGAGGAGAAGGAAUUUGCAGGAGUAUUGAUAGAGAAAUCCAGUAGUUUCCACGUAAGAGUCAGAUAAUGACUAACUACUACAGCUGUGGGGACACCUAAAUAAUGGGGCAAGGGGUGGGAAGGCAGAAGGCAUUGUGACAAAUAGUACAAGGAUGACUCCACGACUAGGGAGUUUAUAAAAAUUAUACACGGAACACAGAAGCCUAAUUAUGGAUCCUGAAGAUAUUUAAAUAUGUAAUGGACUGAUCUGGCACAAAUAGAUUUUAAAUAUGCAUUACUUUCUUGUAAAAAAAAACCUACUUAACAGUGAUAUUUAUACUGGGGCUUAAUCAAUUAGUAUGUGAAAUUGGCCUGCAAAUGUGAAAAAAUAUAGCUAUAUAAACCUAGCUCCUCAAGGCAUUUCAGAAAUGAUCUACUUCUCCCCUCCUUGUGCAUAUGAUAACACCAGUCCAGAAAGGUGGAGUGGCUGGUUUGAAGUCAAACAGCUGAUUAAAGACAAAAUCAAUACCAGAAGUCAGCUUGCAUGAUUCCCAGCUGGGUGGGUUUCUAUCCGUUUACCAUAAUUUGUACCUUGCAUUUUGACAGAGGCCAGGUUCGUAUCUAAAUGAAACUUAAAGACUAUGUUUUCUAGAUUCAUCAGACUCACCCAUGGGUACUUGUUCAAAAUAUAUCUGCCUGGACCCCAGCCUAAAACUUGAGAGGCAGAAUUCUGGGGUAGAAGAACAAAGCCUUAGGAGCAUAUACCAAAAAACUUAAGCGUUUCUGAUGAACCACCCUGUUUCCCUUGCCCAAUUCUGUGUAAGGACGUAGUUUUAGGCAUUGGUUGGCAGAAGAGAAAAUUCUUUUCAGAUGUCUACACACUUCCAGUUAGGCAAGGCUUUUGACUGAGUGAUUUCCUGAGAGGUUCACAUGUGGGACACUCUCAGAAAUCUCCAUGGAUCCAUUCUUUGAACUGAGAAGAGCAAUAUUGAAGGUGUAGCUUAGGCCAUCAGGUUGGGUCCGCCAAGUAUCUGCAGUCCAGGAAAUUAUACAACGAUAUCCAGGUCAGGACACCUCAAGUAUUGAUCCUCAAGUACCAGGCUGUUAGUGUUUACC